CGUCUAUAUACGUAUAGCAUAUCAAUAAGCGGAGGAAAAGAAACUAGCAAGGAUUCCCUUAGUAACGGCGAGUGAAGCGGGAAGAGCUCAAAUUUGAAAUCUUCAAGGUUCUACCUUGACGAAUUGUAGUUUAUAAGAAGUGUUUUCUGUUAGAUGAGUAGCAAAAGUUCUUUGGAAUAGGACAUCAUAGAGGGUGAGAAUCCCGUAUUUGGUCAUUCCUCCUAGCUUUGUGAUACACUUUCAACGAGUCGGAUUGUUUGGGAAUGCAGUCCAAAAUGGGUGGUAAAUUUCAUCUAAAGCUAAAUAUUGGCGAGAGACCGAUAGCGAACAAGUACCGUGAGGGAAAGAUGAAAAGAACUUUGAAAAGAGAGUUAAACAGUACGUGAAAUUGUCAAAAGGGAAGCGUUUGACACCAGUGUUGUUUUUCCGAAAAUCAAUUACAAAAUGGCGUGAUUUUGUGUUGUAUUGACCUUAUCAGCUUUCUGCACUUUUUUCUAGUCUUUCUUAAUGCACUUUUCGUUAACAAGUCAACAUCAAUUUCUUUUGUUGUAAAAGGGUCAUGAGGAAGGUGGCUUUCUUUUCGGAGAAAGUGUUUAUAGCCUUGUGCCUCUGCAAUCGGAGAGAUUGAGGUCUGCAGCGUAGAUCCUUCGGGGUUAGAUACGUUUGUGCUAAGUUAUAGCUUUUCAUAGACAACUUGUUGACUAUGUUUAGUCUUGUAGCUUACUCGCUGACGCUAUUUUACCUACGCUUAGGAUGUUGACUGAUAUGUAGUCGU
rnacentral:rRNA from 1 species